AGGCUAGUUUAGAAAGUUCACUCGCUCACUGUAUGAUGUACGCAUCCUAGAUGAUGGCGAAACUUUUUUCUUUGUUUUAUUUUCAUAAAUGUGGUAUUGAUCAGAGUUUCUUCGUCUUAUACAAAAUGUAUCAAGCCAGAAACAGGAAAAACAAAGUAUGGAAACUCUUGCACUUCCAAUUCUCAAUGCUUGACAGAAUAUUGCAGCAAUUCCAAAUGUUCUUGUCCACAAGACUCUUUCCUUGAUGCUGAAAGUGGCAUGUGCGCUAAAAAAGAAGGUAAUAUAAAAGGUCAAAAAGGCGAAUGUGGGUACAUUGUCAGUCCAAGGGAAACUGGAUCUAGCCAUUCAGUGGAAUGGAACAUCGAAGGAGAACCAGGCACCUACAUCACAUUGGCCUUACUUCAUUUGGACGUCGAUACAAAGAGCUGUGUAAACAAAUUUUUACGUAUAAUUGACGGAUCUACAGUUCUAUUUGACCAGACAUGCUAUCGAAACAUUAAAGCGUUUGAGAUUUACGCUUCUCAUUCAUCCACGCUUUCAAUCUUCUAUGGAGGAUUUGCAAGCGACGAAUACAAAGGAUUUAGAGGUGUUUACUACAUAAGAGGUAAUUUAAUGUGUUUAUUUUUAAAGGCGGGUCUUACUCUUGUAAAGUCGCUAUUGUAGUUACAUUGGCCUCCUAUACUUUUAUUUUUUGU
rnacentral:sRNA from 1 species